rnacentral:rRNA from 1 species
CCUAAAUUUUCCAUAGCAAACUGCUCAGUAACACAUGAUCAACUUACCCUAUAGAGAAAAAUAACCUCGGGAAACUGAGGAUAAUGUUUCAUAGUUGAAAAGGCUUGGAAAAGUUUUUCAAUAAAAAGGAUAAGAAAAAUGGUUCUUAUCCGCUAUAGGAUAGGAUCGUGGUCGAUUAUGGUUGUUGGUGAGGUAAUGGCUCACCAAGCCGAUAAUCGAUAGGGGCCGUGAGAGCGGGAGCCCCGAGAUGGGUACUGAGACAACGACCCAGGCCUUACGAGGCGCAGCAGGCGCGAAACCUCAGCAAUACACGAAAGUGUGACUGGGUUACCCAAAGUGUUCAGUUUUGAACUGUGGUAGGUGAGUAAUGUCCCCUACUAGAAAGGAGAGGGCAAGGCUGGUGCCAGCCGCCGCGGUAAAACCAGCUCUUCAAGUGGUCGGGAUAAUUAUUGGGCUUAAAGUGUCCGUAGCCUGUUUAGUAAGUUCCUGGUAAAAUCGGGUAGCUUAACUAUCUGUAUGCUAGGAAUACUGCUAAACUAGAGGGCGGGAGAGGUCUGAGGUACUACAGGGGUAGGGGUGAAAUCUUAUAAUCCUUGUAGGACCACCAGUGGCGAAGGCGUCAGACUGGAACGUGCCUGACGGUGAGGGACGAAAGCCAGGGGAGCGAACCGGAUUAGAUACCCGGGUAGUCCUGGCCGUAAACGAUGCAUACUAGGUGAUGGCAUGGCCAUGAGCCGUGUCAGUGCCGUAGGGAAACCGUUAAGUAUGCCGCCUGGGAAGUACGGUCGCAAGGCUAAAACUUAAAGGAAUUGGCGGGGGAGCACCACAAGGGGUGAAGCCUGCGGUUCAAUUGGA